rnacentral:rRNA from 1 species
AGCGAACGCUGGCGGCAGGCCUAACACAUGCAAGUCGAACGAACUCUUCGGAGUUAGUGGCGGACGGGUGAGUAACACGUGGGAACGUGCCUUUAGGUUCGGAAUAACUCAGGGAAACUUGUGCUAAUACCGACUGUGCCCUUCUGGGGUGAGCCUUAUCGCUUUUAGAGCGGCCCGCGUCUGAUUAGGUAGUUGGUGAGGUAAAGGCUCACCAAGGCGACGCUCAGUAGCUGGUCUGUGAGGAUGAUCAGCCACAUUGGGACUGAGCCACGGCCCAACCGCCUACGGGAGGCAGCAGUGAGGAAUCUUGCGCAAUGGGCGAAAGCCUGACGCAGCCAUGCCGCGUGAAUGAUGAAGGUCUUAGGAUUGUAAAAUUCUUUCACCGGGGACGAUAAUGACGGUACCCGGAGAAGAAGCCCCGGCUAACUUCGUUCCAGCCGCCGCAGUAA